AGAAUAUUCAAAAGAAAGAAGACAUGUAGGGAGGCAGUUUCUUGUUCCUGGGGCUGGUUGGCUUAUGUCCCAGCUGCUUACAGGCUCACUGGGCAUAGAAGUCGACUGUCACCCUCUAGGAACUGCCUGGGUUUGCCCAAGUUCCUUCCACUCCCAGAGAAAUUGGCAUCUAAUGACUGGAGGGUUCUCCCUUCUUACAACAUUAAUUGGUAAGAUUUAGAAUUUAUUCAAUUUCUCAGAAGAAUAAAGGAAUUUGAUUUAUUCUCUCUCACUCCUAGAUGACAGCAGGGACUAUAGCAGGUUAAUCUCAAAUCUGUGAGUGCUCUGCUGGGUCCUGCAGUUCCUGAGGCUUCAUGAAAAAGCCACAGCCUACUUAGCAUCCCUACAGCUGCAUCUGAAACACUGCACAGUGGCCACUAGAGGGCACUGGGGGUCCACUGACUGAGCUGCAGCCAGUGCUUCUGGGAGAGGGAUGGCUCAGGGGUCUUGGCUGGGGGACUGCAUUAGGGAUAACACCUGAUGAGCCAGGACAGGUGAAUUGUGUUCUCCACACAUCCCAUGAAGUGCACGUGAAUGACUCAGAGUACGGAACCAUGAACUGCAUCUUGGUAAAUCAAGAUUCUCUGGGAGCUCCUUUGACAGGGGAUAUGAUUGGACUCCACGGGGGCAGCACACACCACAAUUCAGGUGGAGAGAGAGAAGCCCCUGACUCCCAGGAAAGCUGGAGAGUGUGGGCAUGGACUUCCACCCCACACCCUGGCCUGCCCUGAUCAGCACAGCCAGCUGCCCCUGUCCCACAGAAGCUCCAAAGAAUGGGGAAGGACUACAUCAACUGAGCAUGUCCAGGGGCUACAGGAGACCUGCUGAACCCACAGGCACACUGGCAUCAGAAGAGCGACAUCACUGAUGUCACAGCAAAUCCUCCAAACAGAGAAAAGGGAGGAGCCAAGUGCCUGCUCUCAGCCCAGGAGACCAGCACCCUGAGUGCAAAGAUGCUUAGACCUGUCCUUCCUGACCCUGCCUGGGGACCCAGGCUCCUCUGCUGCAUCACCCUUUGUCUCCUGGGAGCAGGGUUAGAAAACACAGAAUUCCCCUUGGCCCGAAAAUGGGCACCAAGCUCUUCCUCUGUGUGGCCUGCUGUCUCCUGUGGGCAGGACACAUGGAGGCUGGAAUCACCCAGAACCCAAGGCAUAUCAUCACAGAGACAGGAGAAAAGGUGACUUUGCGCUGCCACCAGACCUACAACUAUGACUAUAUGUACUGGUAUCGCCAAGACCCAGGGCAAGGGCUGCAGCUGAUCCAUCACUCAUAUGGUGUGGACAACACUGCCAAAGGAGACGUGUCUGACGGGUACAGUGUCUCCAGAUCAAACAAAACGGACUUCCCCCUCACUCUGGAGUCCACCACCCGCUCCCAGACAUCUGUGUACUUCUGUGCCACCAGUGACUACACAGUGCUCCAGGGCCACCUCCUGGCUGCACAUAAAUAGGAAGACUGUGGCUGCCUGUGCUCAGGAGCCCUGGCCACCCCAGGAAGCAGAGCCCUUGCCAGCCUGGGGACCUCACAGCCUGGGCAACAGGCCCUCAGUGCUGAGGUCCUCCCCUGCCAGUCUCAGCCUGACCUCAGACCUCCCAGCCCCCUUAGCUUGCUGCUGCUCUCUUCAGCAGCCCUCUCUUUCUACCUGCAAAAGGAAAAUGCAUCUUAGUGGAGGUUCCUGUUGAAGGCCUUGCCAGUCUCAAGGCCACCACCUUCUCACCCCAGGGCUUCAGUGUCUUCCUCAUCCUCCUAUAGGCUCUUCUACUUCAGCCCUGAGUCUCCUCCCCCAUGACCUCUGCUCCUGGCUGCCUCCAUCCUGGGGGGAAGCCCUAGGGGUCUGUGUCAUGUGCCUUCCUGUCUCUCCAUCCUCCAUGCACCUGUCCCCUGGCUGUCAGCUCCUGUCACACUCUCCUCUGUGAGUUAUUUCCCCCAUGAGGACUUGUCCUCACAGGGUGUUCCUUUGACCCUAAACAUAUGUCCCUCCUCUCA